AGACCCGAAACCCGGUGAUCUAGCCAUGGGCAGGUUGAAGGUUGGGUAACACUAACUGGAGGACCGAACCGACUAAUGUUGAAAAAUUAGCGGAUGACUUGUGGCUGGGGGUGAAAGGCCAAUCAAACCGGGAGAUAGCUGGUUCUCCCCGAAAGCUAUUUAGGUAGCGCCUCGUGAAUUCAUCUCCGGGGGUAGAGCACUGUUUCGGCAAGGGGGUCAUCCCGACUUACCAACCCGAUGCAAACUGCGAAUACCGGAGAAUGUUAUCACGGGAGACACACGGCGGGUGCUAACGUCCGUCGUGAAGAGGGAAACAACCCAGACCGCCAGCUAAGGUCCCAAAGUCAUGGUUAAGUGGGAAACGAUGUGGGAAGGCCCAGACAGCCAGGAUGUUGGCUUAGAAGCAGCCAUCAUUUAAAGAAAGCGUAAUAGCUCACUGGUCGAGUCGGCCUGCGCGGAAGAUGUAACGGGGCUAAACCAUGCACCGAAGCUGCGGCAGCGACACUGUGUGUUGUUGGGUAGGGGAGCGUUCUGUAAGCCUGUGAAGGUGUGCUGUGAGGCAUGCUGGAGGUAUCA
rnacentral:rRNA from 1 species